AUGAUUGCAAGAUGGCCUAUGCAUCUCACACAACAUUGUGUAGAGGCUGGAGGAGGAAAGAGAGCUUGUUCCUUUUCAUGUUCAGUCUUAAGAGGGAGGAAAGUGUCCCCAGGAGAACUAGCAGCAAUCUCGUGUCUUUUGAGCCUGAGCUGCAACUUAUGCUCUUCCGGACCCACUCACUGGCAAAGGAAUUGGGAUCGCCUGACUCGGAGAAGGCCCGUCUUCCCUGAGCACACAGCCACGCCAUGCUCAGUUGAGCUGGGGUUCUGGAGCAAGGAGCGAGUGGAGUGCUAUCUAAGCCUUCCCGCUUGUUUAAGUGAUCUAACUGAUAACAAACUCUCAGAGAGGAGCUUCUGGUGGACGAGGUGUUCCUGGUGGCGUGUUUUUCAUCCAGGUGCUGCUGUGUGUAAUGGAACUAGUUUCACAGACCCAAGUUUUCUGGCUCAACCUUCCAAGCUGCUUCAGCUUCAAAACCUGACCUUCCUCGAGAUCUCCAAUUACGGAUGAACAAUCUGGUGUGAUGGUUACUAUCUCAUGCUUAUUAAACAGAGUCGCACAGUCUUUGGGGCAGUGGAGAGAGGAACAAUUGCAGAGCCAAGGGAUGUUCCCAGAGCAUGGAAGCCGUUCUCAGAAGCCUGCCGAAAGGAAGCUUCUGCAGCGUCCUCUACGUCCCGGCAGUGAAGGCGCCAUUCAAGAGGAGUGGACAAAGACCGAAGGUCCUGCCACUGCUGCUGUGAGACCUUCUGCUAUAGACACCAGCUUGCGCAGCAGCAGCUCAGACUCAGUCGGUGCAGCUGCAAACUCAGAACGUGUCAAGUCUAAAGUGGCGAGACGCUUCCUGAACCACACCACAGACCCGGUGUCAUCAGUCGCAGUUGUUCUCUGUAAUUGGCACCUCUCUGUUUACGCAACUCCACGUAUACCAGACAACGUGAUUUUCAGUUUACUGACAUUCUCUAGAGUAAGAAAAAGAGAGAGAGAGAAAUGACUGAAAAAAUUGCCUUCCAUACAGGUGUUUCUUGAUUGUGUUUGUUAAAGAUAUAAAUAAGUGAAUGAACAAUAAAUGAUGAAGCCAAUAAAAUAGAUAUUCUUGA
rnacentral:lncRNA from 1 species